rnacentral:snRNA from 1 species
AUUUUUACCUGGCAAGGGAGAAACCAUGAUCAACAUGAUCAAGAGGGUGUUUUACUCAGGGCAAGGUUUAUCCACUGCACUCUGAAUGUGCUGACCCCUGCAACUUUCCGCAAAUGUGGAAAAUUGCAUAAUUUGUGGUAGUGGGGGACUGUGUUCAUGCUUUCUCCUG